rnacentral:lncRNA from 1 species
UCUUUCCGGGCGGCGGCGGCGGCGGCGGAGCGGCCCGGCUGUGACUGCCGCAGGUUAAUAGCCGCGCUGGUCCCUGGGCUGCUGCCGAGCAUAGCACGACUCUGAAGUUGUGCAACUGUGGACUGCGAGAGAUAUUUGAACCCUCUUUUCUCUGUGCUCCGCUUUUGCCCCUUUGGGGUAUGGGAAGCGAGGAAACAUAAAGGAAGACAAGCAUUUGCCCCCCCCCCCACCGCCCCGUCUCCUUUCUCCAUGGCUGUGUAGCAGAAGAAAGGCAAGAGACUUUUUGUUGUUGUUGGCUGGACUGAGGUCUCCACCCUCCUGCCGCCCGCUCCGCACUCGGUGCUGGUCUUCGCCGCGGGUGGCGGGGAACCUUCUGCCCCUGCUCCAUGGCUGGAUUGUGGAAGCUGCACCGGGCUGCAGGUUGUUGAGAAGCGGAUGGGACCUGCUCAGGGACGGCGGCAUCGAAAGAAAUGUUUAA